AUUCAGUGCAGGAAAAACGAUAGAAAAUGGCAAAGACUGUAAAUUGCUCCAUUUGUAUUGUCAACAUGCUAACUCAUGGACUCAUUGAAAUGAAUCAAUUCAGCAAAGCGUACUUCAAGAGGGCAUUGAAAAAUAAAUAGGAAGGAAAAUCUUAAGAAACAUCAAGCAAUUCUGUACUCCACCAGAGUCACUGGGUCAAACCCUGGACCUCCAUCUGAACAGACCCCAUCUACCUGGUUGCUGUUCGAGGGUACCUGACCACAAGAUCCUGCAGCAACCCCACGACAUGUUGCUUGCCAGGAAUUCAGCAGGAGUCACCACAACCCAGUUCGUUGUCAUAGCUAUGCGACUGCCCAAGAAAACAAGACAUUGCAGCAAGUUGAGAAAAAGGGCAAAUUGAGAAAAAGGUAGCAAUGUAUUGUGAA